UAAAAAAAGCCUUUGGGAGUUUGUAGACCCGGCUUUUGUGAAUUGUCCCUCCCACUACCCCAUCCCCGAGAGCCCGCUUCAGAGUGAGUUAAACCCUUCCCCCUCUGUGUAAUGAACGCCCUUUGCCACCCUGUGAGCGGAGGAGGCUGAUCCUGCUUCUGGCAACCCGCCUGCUCAGCGCUAGAAUUGGGCCUGUCCUUCACUGGCGGGUGCACAAAGGCCCGUGGCAGGCAGGAGCCUCAGCCCCUGCUUUUCCAGUUCAUGAAAACUAAAAACUCCCGGAUGCUACGGAUGCUACGGACACUCCUCAUCAGGUCUGCAGAAGUGGUGCCUUGAUAAUGAACCUUUCUCCUGAGGCUAUGCCUUAAAAACACAGACAAGAGUUGACAGUGCAAAGGCAGAGGUAUUUGUGAACCCUCCUCUUUGAAGCUGCCCACUUCCAGAAGCGCCAAGUUCAUCCCCACAGUGUUUACUCCAUCCUUGGACACUACGAGUCGGGGAUGUCCCACAGAUCCAGCAUAGUCCAGAGUUGUCAGGCCAAGCAAAUGAAAAUCUAGGGUUCUCAGUUCAAUUUGAAAAGCAUAUGCAUGUAAAUGCAUGUAAAUAAAUAAAUAGCAUAUGCAUGUAAAUACAUGUAAAUAAAUAGCAUAUGCAUGUAAAUGAAUGUAAAUAAAUAUUUUUAAAGUUUUA